CGCGAUUCGCCCUUCGGGGUGCCCAGGCGCGAAAACUUUACAAUGCUGGCAACAGCGAUAAGGGGACCUCGAGUGCCAGGAUACAAUCUUGGCUGUCGCGAUGCCUAAAAAGCAUUGCAUAGCAAGGGCCGGGCAAGACCGGUGCCAGCCGCCGCGGUAACACCGGCGGCUCGAGUGGUAACCGCUAUUAUUGGGUCUAAAGGGUCUGUAGCCGGCCGGAUAAGUCUUUUGGGAAAUCCAGCUGCUCAACAGUUGGGCUUUCAGAAGAUACUGUUCGGCUCGAGGCCGGGAGAGGUGAGAGGUACUUCAGGGGUAGGGGUGAAAUCUUGUAAUCCUUGAAGGACCACCAGUGGCGAAGGCGUCUCACCAGAACGGACCUGACGGCAAGGGACGAAAGCUAGGGGCACGAACCGGAUUAGAUACCCGGGUAGUCCUAGCCGUAAACGAUACUCGCUAGGUGUCAGCCACGGUGCGACCGUGGUUGGUGCCGUAGGGAAGCCGUGAAGCGAGCCACCUGGGAAGUACGGCCGCAAGGCUGAAACUUAAAGGAAUUGGCGGGGGAGCAC
rnacentral:rRNA from 1 species